GACGAACGCUGGCGGCGUGCCUAAUACAUGCAAGUAGAACGCUGAAGGAGGAGCUUGCUUCUCUGGAUGAGUUGCGAACGGGUGAGUAACGCGUAGGUAACCUGCCUGGUAGCGGGGGAUAACUAUUGGAAACGAUAGCUAAUACCGCAUAAUAGCAGUUAUUGCAUGAUAACUGUUUGAAAGGUGCAAUUGCACCACUACCAGAUGGACCUGCGUUGUAUUAGCUAGUUGGUGGGGUAACGGCUCACCAAGGCGACGAUACAUAGCCGACCUGAGAGGGUGAUCGGUCACACUGGGACUGAGACACGGCCCAGACUCCUACGGGAGGCAGCAGUAGGGAAUCUUCGGCAAUGGACGGAAGUCUGACCGAGCAACGCCGCGUGAGUGAAGAAGGUUUUCGGAUCGUAAAGCUCUGUUGUAAGAGAAGAACGAGUGUGAGAGUGGAAAGUUCACACUGUGACGGUAGCUUACCAGAAAGGGACGGCUAACUACGUG
rnacentral:rRNA from 1 species